rnacentral:rRNA from 1 species
GACGAACGCUGGCGGCGUGCCUAAUACAUGCAAGUUGAGCGAUGAAGAUUGGUGCUUGCGCCAAUUUGAAGAGCAGCGAACGGGUGAGUAACGCGUGGGGAAUCUGCCUUUGAGCGGGGGACAACAUGUGGAAACGAAUGCUAAUACCGCAUAACAACUUUAAACAUAAGUUUUAAGUUUGAAAGAUGCAAUUGCAUCACUCAAAGAUGAUCCCGCGUUGUAUUAGCUAGUUGGUGAGGUAAAGGCUCACCAAGGCGAUGAUACAUAGCCGAACUGAGAGGGUGGUCGGCCACAUUGGGACGGAGACACGGCCCAAAGUCCUACGGGAGGCAGCAGGAGGGAAUCUUCGGCAAUGGAUGAAAGUCUGAGCGAGCAACGCCGAGGGAGUGAAGAAGGUUUUCGGAUCGUAAAACUCUGUUGGCAGAGUAGAACGCUGGUGAGAGUGGAAAGCACAUCAAGUGACGGUAACUACCCAGAAAGGGACGGCUAACUACGUG